rnacentral:rRNA from 1 species
UACAGAGGUCCCGAGCGUUGUUCGGAUUCAUUGGGCGUAAAGGGUGCGUAGGCGGCCAUGCGUGUCUUCCGUGAAAUCCCUCGGCUUAACUGAGGACGUGCGGAAGAAACUGCAAGGCUCGAGUCCGGGAGAGGGGGGUGGAAUUCCCAGUGUAGCGGUGAAAUGCGUAGAUAUUGGGAGGAACACCGGUGGCGAAGGCGGCCCCCUGGACCGGUACUGACGCUGAGGCGCGAAAGCGUGGGUAGCAAACGGGAUUAGAAACC